ensembl:lncRNA
AUGAGACUAUAAGGAGAACCAGUACUGAGUCAAUGUGCAGGGUACCAGGUAGUUGAGGUAAUAAUGAGACUAUAAGGAGUACCAGUACUGAGUCAAUGUGCAGGGUACCAGGUAGUUGAGGUAAUAAUGAGACUAUAAGGAGUACCAGUACUGAGUCAAUGUGCAGGGUACCAGGUAGUUGAGGUAAUAAUGAGACUAUAAGGAGUACCAGUACUGAGUCAAUGUGCAGGGUACCAGGUAGUUGACGUAAUAUGCACAUGUAGGUAAGUAUAAAAGUGACUAGACAAUCAGGAUAGAGAUUACAUCUCCUCAUCCGAGGAGUACAUACACAUCCGCACGAACACACACACACACACAGACGGAAUGUGGAGUUUGUUUAAUAUUGUUUUAGGAAUAUGAAAAUGGACAAAAUGAUUAGCCUACAGAUUAUGAAAACAGCAACAAUAAAUGGGAAAGUGGGAGAGGAGAAAUGACUAGAGACAGUGUUGUUUAACUCACUGACCAGGACCCAUGAGUUCUUCUUACCUUUGUUCAGUAGAAAAGUCUCCCUCUCUAAAGUAUAGAGGAGGAUCCAUAGACCGGUCACUCUUCAUGGACACACAGCUGGGAACAGGGAGGCUGGUCUCUCCUGCCUGAUUGGACUUCAACACAACAGAGACAAACAUUACAUCUCUCAUCUCCUCUGAGCUCAGAUGGGGAAACAGAAGAAGAGUUUCACAAAUUUCAUAAAUGGUUAUUUUAUGGUUGUAAGUGGUGAAAUGAACUAGAAAAUGUUAUAUAAUUACUACUUUAGUAAGGAAUUACACAUUAUUCAGUACUACUGCAGUUGCUACAUAAUUCCAAUAGAUGGCAGCAGAAGACCACUAAUGACAUUUCAGAAGAUUAGUUUAGUUUUCUCCCU